rnacentral:rRNA from 1 species
AUUGAACGCUGGCGGCAUGCCUUACACAUGCAAGUUGAACGGCAGCACGGGAGCAAUCCUAGUGGCGAGUGGCGAACGGGUGAGUAAAGUAUCGGAACGUGCCCAGUCGUGGGGGAUAACGUAGCGAAAGUUACGCUAAUACCGCAUACGAUCUAUGGAUGAAAGCGGGGGAUCGCAAGACCUCGCGCGAUUGGAGCGGCCGAUAUCAGAUUAGGUAGUUGGUGGGGUAAAGGCCCACCAAGCCGACGAUCUGUAGCUGGUCUGAGAGGACGACCAGCCACACUGGGACUGAGACACGGCCCAGACUCCUACGGGAGGCAGCAGUGGGGAAUUUUGGACAAUGGGCGAAAGCCUGAUCCAGCCAUGCCGCGUGCAGGAUGAAGGCCUUCGGGUUGUAAACUGCUUUUGUACGGAACGAAAAGGACUGCCCUAAUACGGUGGUCCCAUGACGGUACCGUAAGAAUAAGCACCGGCUAACUACGUGCCAGCCGCCGCAGUAA